CCCGGGAUAGCUCAAUAGGUAGAGCA
rnacentral:tRNA from 1 species